AAAGUGCUGGGAUUAUAGGCAUGAGCCUCCACGCCUAGCCUCAAGUGGUCCUCUUGAGUCAACCUAGACUACAGUCUAUGCUAGAGAAUGUUUGUGUGUGUGACAAUGUAUGUUCUUGAACAUCAUAGAUUCCACUUUGGAUGCUCCUGUCGGGACUGUGUGUCCCUGUGCUGGAACUCAAGUGAGAGUUGGCUGAAAAUCCAUUGCUGUUCUCUAGAAAUCCAGCCCAAGUCUCUUGGUUAGAGAUAAGAUUCCAUUUUGGAUGCUUCCAUCGGGACUGUGUGCCCCUGUCCUGGAACUCAGCUGAACACUUGGCUCAAAAUCCAUUGCUGUUCUCUGGAAAUUCUGCCCUAAUCUCUUGGUUAAAUAUAAGAAGGCGGAGCCAGGUGUGCAGAGCGGAACGUGAAAGUGGACCAGGAGCGUGACCGCUGAAGCACAGCAUCACAGGGAGACGUUUAGGCCACCAGACGGCUGCGGGCGGGCUUGACUGAUGUCAGGCUUUCCACAAGAGGUGGUGGAGCAGAGUCUUCUCUAACUCCCCUGGAGAAAGGGAGACUCCCUCUCCGGGUUUGGGAAGAGACAAAACUCAGGAGGAUUGUGCUAUGAUAAACAAGGCUAACCUGCUGAUUCUCUGAAGCAAGGAACUGGAGAUGGUCCUUCUAAGGGUUUAUAUUCUGGAUUCCAGGAAACAUGCAAACAGGACCCAUAAAUGCAUCUUUAUUUUGGUGCCCAUUUUGACCUGGUCAGGAGAAUUCCAACAAAAAAUCCACGGUGUUGGAGCAAGAUCUCAGGCUCUCAGGCUGUGGCCAUCUAGAGAUUCCAUUUUGGAUGCUCCCAUCGGGACUGUGUGUCCCUGUGCUGGAACUCGAGUGAACACUUGGCUCAAAAUCCAUUGCUGUUCUCUAGAAAUCCUGCCCUAUUCUCUUGGUGAAAUAUAAGAUUCCAUUUUGGAUGCCCUCAUUGGGACUGUGUGUCCCUGUACUGGAACUCAAGUGAACACUUGGCUCAAAAUCCAUUGCUGUUCUCUAGAAAUCCAGCCUAAUUCUCUUGGUUAAAGGUAAGGUAUGAGUAGUAAGCAUUGCUUUUUCUCUUUGGGAACAAAACUCAGGAGGAUUGCCCCUUGAUGAACAAAGCUAACCUGUUGAUUCUUUGAGGGAAGGAACUGGAGAUGGUCCUUUUAGGGGUUUAUGUUCUGGAUUCUAGAAAACACACAAACCGGACAAAUAAAUGCAUCUUUAUUUUUGUGUCUAUUUUAACCUCGUCAAGGAAGAUUCCAACAAAAAAUCCACAGUGCCGGAGCAAGAAGACCUCAGGCUGUGACACUCUAGAGGGAAGCGCUUUCUGUUGUCUGAAAGAAAGGAAAGUGCAUCCUUUUAGAGUGUUACUGUUUGAGAAAAGCAACAUUGAAGCUGAUGCUGAUCUUGGUAAUAAAUUUGCAGCGAAUGCUUAUAAUCAGACUUGGAUGAUGUUGGGCUUCUGAGUUUUUUUUUGUUUUGUUUUGUUUAGUUUUGGGGUUUUUCUGUUUUUUGUUUUUUGUUUUUUUUUUUUUU